rnacentral:lncRNA from 1 species
UCCUCUCGCACAGGUACGUUUGUUCACAUUUUAAUUAACACAAUACUCACAUAGAUAUUCUCUUGUCAUUAGUAGAAACUAAUCUAUUUGAUUCGCUAUCCACAAUCGUGGUUUUAUUUUCUUUUUCAUUGCAUCUCCAUGUGUGUUGACAUGUGUUUAGUUCAAACUUAAGUUUGAUCCAUAUGUUUGACAUGGAAGAUAUACUUUUAUCACUUUCAGUACCGACAUGGUCCGAGAGGGUGCCAAUUCGAAAGAUGAAGCUUAUGAUGCUUAGCUUACAUGUGGUUUGUAUGGAAAAAGGUGCCCAAAGUCAAAGCAACAGACAUGUUCUUCAAUCGACUAAACCAAGCCUACACUCACCCAAAUUCGAUCCAUUUAUUCAUCUUUGCUCAGGGUUUGACCAUUCUACCUACUGAUAACAAGUUGUCAACCAUUAUUCCCUAUAGCUUGCAAGUAGUGAAGCCCUAACUACCAUCCCACUUCAACGGGUCAAUGCAUAGCUAAGCUCAUUAAUAUUGGAAGAUCUAGAAGGCUUCAUAGUUCUACUAAUUAAAAUUUAAAAUACACAAUCACUGUUGGACCUCUAGUACCGAUCAAUA